GAAGCCCGAGAGGAGGAGAAGCAGCGGAAUCAGAAGGAAGAUUUCAGUGACAUGGUCGCAGAGGUUGAGAAGAAGAGGAAACGAAAGAUGCAGGAGAAAGAUGGGAAAUCAAAAAAGAAAGAUUUCAAGUUUUAGAAGUAGUAAUUGGUUGUAUUGCAAGGGAAGCAUGGCCUAGAUUGUAUGACCAUCCUGUUCUUACUUUUUAACCUGC
rnacentral:misc_RNA from 1 species